CUUCUCCCCGGUUCCUCUCGUCACUGGAACGAAAUGCAUUCAUAUCCCCCAAAGAAAAUAGGGCCAAUCCACCAUCUUCUUGGUUCAUCCAUAUCUACCCAAAAAUCAGUUCUAGAAUUGUAUUCACAUGGACUGUAUGCAUGUCCCCAAGUCAUAAACUCGUUACUUUCAUCACCAUUAACAGAUCAAUCUUAACAAUUUUUCUACAAGCUUAAUUAUUAUUUUGUUCCAUUAAACAAAUUCAACAAAAACUCCAAGAACCCUAGAUUCAAAAUCCAUUUUGUUUAUCAAUAAUUUGAAAUCAAAGUUAGAAACUGAAGACGAACCUCACCUGUCACAUCAAAGAUCGAAUUUCACUGUCCAAAAUCAUAGCUUCGUCAUAACCCAUAUCUCAAAAUCAAAAUGCAUGUAUCAAUAGAAAUCUAAAGAAGACUUUGUAACCGAUUAGUUUUCUGCUCCUGAAAUCAUCAGAAGGGUUUUUCCUUAUAUAUUUUCCCUGCAAAACAACUCAUCAAGUCUUCAAGUGGGUUGAAGAUCUCUUCUUCUGGUGUAAGAAAUAAAACCCCUAAAUCUGAAGCUGGAGAACAAGAAGUUGAAGGGGAAGAACAAAUGGUUGUAGCUUAGUGCUACUAGUCACUACGAGUUUCAAUUGGUCGUAUGAUGAUCAAGGAAAUAGUAUUCUCUAGCCUAUCCAUGGUUAUGCAUUGGCGGCAAAUAGCUGUUUGAAAGGAGUGGGGAGAUAUCUUCCUGUAGACUUAGCGAAAGGGGUGCUCCAUGCACUUUGCUUGCACGCAUUAGGGCAGGUACUAUAUUGCUCAUCGAAGUUAUUUUGUUUUAUCUGCAUAUUUGUGUCUAUUUUUAUGUAACCUUCACGUUUGCAGUAGGCUUUUCUUUGAUUUCAAUGGGUCGAAUAUUCACUUUGGCAUCAAUCCACCUUGCUUGCAGUAAAUGACUUGUUUGUUGCUUUUUAAGUAAUAUGUUAGUUGUGAAUUGGUGUAGUGCUUGUUGAGAAUUUUUGGUUCCUUAAACAAGCUUUUUUCUGUAAGAAGAAGCCAAAUUUAGUGUUUAGAUCAACAAGCACUUGUCUGUUCAUGUUCCCUUUAUUUUUUUAACAAGUCUUGACCUCUUAUAACUAGUAAUAAUUUGUGUAGUGCUCGUAUCUUCUGGCAGCACAGGUACAGUGGUGUUGGUAUUGAAGUGAUCAAGAAUUUUCUUAGGACUUACUUUGCUGUUAGAACUUUGUUUCUUUUAAAGCAGUUAUAAUUUUGUUAUUAAGCUUUUAACGCCAAACUUAUUUUUGUUGCAAUAUACUAUUCUAUACAGUUGGGCAGCUCAGUUCAUCAUCUUUUUGCUGGUUUUAGCUUUUUUUUGGUGUCUGUAAGUUGGGUUCUUGUGAUUGUAAGAAAAUUAAUCUUUAAGAAUGCUUAAAACUUAUGGUGUGAAUUCACUACUUGCCUAGAGUUUUUUGACCUAAGUGUCAUCCUGAUUCAAAUAUAAAUUGAAUUACUGUUGUAAACAAAUAUGAAUUGAAUGGUGAAAGUUUUGAU